AUUGAACGCUGGCGGCAGGCCUAACACAUGCAAGUCGAACGCGUGGGGGGCGGGUGUGUAAUAUCUGGGACACCGCCCGAUGGGGGGGGAUAACUUCUGGAAGCGGUCGCUAAUACCGCAUACCAUCGGGUGUGCCCAUAUGGGAUUCGCUUGGGGGUGGGGUAACGGCUCACCUAGGCGACGAUCCCUAGCUGGUCUGAGAGGAUGACCAGCCACACUGGAACUGAGACACGGUCCAGACGCCUACGGGAGGCAGCAGUGGGGAAUAUUGCACAAUGGGCGCAAGCCUGAUGCAGCCAUGCCGCGUGUAUGAAGAAGGCCCUAGGGUUGUAAAGUACUUUCAGCGAGGAGGCGUUACCCGCAGAAGAAGCACCGGCUAACUCCGUGCCAGCAGCCGCGGUAAUAC
rnacentral:rRNA from 1 species